CUCUCUCACAUUCACUAUCAAACUCUCUCACAUUCACAGUCAAACUCUCUUACAGAGUUUGACUGCAACGGAAGUCAACUUAAAAUUUCAGUUUCUGAUUGGACCCCAGGCAAGAUUAGGCGGGUUUUCACGGACAGAAAAAUAGCUGAGCGGCAUCGACUCACAUAUGCAACUAAUAUUUUAAAUGACAUCGUUAGCGCUCCAACAGUAAUGUCAGCAUUAUCAGAAGUGUUUAGAAGCCGACAGCCAGCAUCGGAAACCCCAUCUUUCAGUGGGAUAAAGCUAGCCGCCUCUUCGGAAAUGGCAGUAAAGCCAGCCUGCACUCGACUUUAAUGUGCGCGACAGUACAAGUUAUGGCGCUCUCUUUUCAAAAUAAAAGCGCAUCUCCGGUUUAUAAUAAUAAUGUUACAUUAUAUUUCAAA